rnacentral:rRNA from 1 species
GACGAACGCUGGCGGCGUGCCUAACACAUGCAAGUCGAACGGAAAGGCCCUGCUUGCAGGGUACUCGAGUGGCGAACGGGUGAGUAACACGUGGGUGAUCUGCCCUGCACUUCGGGAUAAGCUUGGGAAACUGGGUCUAAUACCGGAUAGGAACCAUCUUUAGUGUGGUGGUUGGAAAGUUUUUUCGGUGUAGGAUGAGCUCGCGGCCUAUCAGCUUGUUGGUGGGGUAAUGGCCUACCAAGGCGGCGACGGGUAGCCGGCCUGAGAGGGUGUACGGCCAGAGUGGGACUGGGAUAGGGCCCAGACUCCGACGGGAGGCAGCAGUGGGGAAUAUUGCACAAGGGGCGCAAGCCUGAUGCAGCGAGGCCGCGUGGGGGAUGAAGGCCUUCGGGUGGUAAACUCCUUUCGCUAGGGACGAAGCUUUGUUGUGACGGUACCUAGAUAAGAAGCACCGGCUAACUACGUG